rnacentral:rRNA from 1 species
UGGGGAAUAUUGCACAAUGGAGGGAACUCUGAUGCAGCGACGCCGCGUGAGUGAUGAAGGAAUUCGUUUCGUAAAACUCUGUUCUAUGGGAAGAAAAGGACUGUACCAUAGGAGAAAGCUCCGGCUAAAUACGUGCCAGCAGCCGCGGUAAUACGUAUGGAGCGAGCGUUGUCCGGAAUUAUUGGGCGUAAAGGGUGCGCAGGCGGCUUUACAAGUUGGAUGUGAAAUAUUGUGGCUCAACCACAAACGUGCAUCCAAAACUGCAAAGCUUGAGUUAAGGGGGGGUAAGAGGAAUUCCUGGUGUAGCGGUAGAAAGCGUAGAUAUCAGGAGGAAUACCGGUGGCGAAGGCGACUUACUGGACUUAAACUGACGCUCAGGCACGAAAGCGUGGGGAGCAAACAGG